CGAAGGGGGCUAGCGUUGUUCGGAAUUACUGGGCGUAAAGCGCGCGUAGGCGGUUUUGCAAGCCAGAGGUGAAAUGCCUGAGCUCAACUUAGGAAUUGCCUUUGGGACUGCGAGGCUUUGAGGACGGGAGAGGUGAGUGGAAUUCCCAGUGUAGAGGUGAAAUUCGUAGAUAUUGGGAAGAACACCGGUGGCGAAGGCGGCUCACUGGCCCGUUUCUGACGCUGCAGCGCGAAAGCGUGGGGAUCAAACAGGAUUAGAUACCCUGGUAGUCCACGCUGUAAACGAUGAGUGCUAGGCGUCGGCAAGCUUGCUUGUCGGUGCCGCAGCUAACGCGUGAAGCACUCCGCCUGGGGAGUACGGUCGCAAGAUUA
rnacentral:rRNA from 1 species